GCUUUAUUAGAUUCAGCAGCUUUCAGAUUUCUUCUUCCAAAAACUUCGAGAGUCCAGACCCUCGUUCCUUUUGACCCCAUUUCGCCUCCCCAGCACCGCUACGAUGACGGCAACCGAGAGGGAGGAGGCCGUACGACAUAGCACCACCAUCACCGAUUACCGCAAGAGGUCACUCUAGCACAAGGAGAUCGACUCCCGAGUCCGCGCAGUUUCUGGGCAGUGGGUUUCUUGGCUGUCGCAGUAAAGUGGACAAAGAAAAACCAAUAGCAGGCGCUCGAAUUGUUUUGGAUAUGACUAUCCGACUAUCAUGAGGGCUCUUCCAAGAGAGAUGGUGAUAGACUGUCCCUUGUUCCAGCCUCAGAACAAAGAAAGCUUUUCAGUGGGGAUUGCUACAUUCUGCAAUAUACAUAUCUUGGCAACGAAAGGGAUGAGAAUCUAUUUUAUGCAUGGCUUGGUGGUGGGAGUGUAAUGGAAGAUAGAACAGAUACUAUCUCUCAUAUGAAUGCCAUAGUUGAGUCAAGCAAGGGGAAUCUUGUUGUGGCUCAAAUUAUGGAGAACAAGGAGCCAUCUCAAUUUUUUUCAAUUUUACAGACAUUAAUUGUUUUUAAGGGAGGCAGGAGUCAACGAUACAAGAAGCUUGUGGCAGAAAAGGGUAUUGCAGAUGAAACUUAUGAUGAAAGCAAGACAACUCUUUUUCGUGUUCAAGGGACGAGUCCUAACAACAUGCAGGCCAUCUAAGUUGAUACAGUUUCAGGCUCUUUGAACUCUUCCUAUUGUUACAUCCUGCAAACUGGUACAUCUGUUAUCACUUUCAUUGGAAUCUCUCCUCGAGCUGAGAUCAUGAUCUUCUUGACAGAAUGCUGGAGCUAAUAAAUCCAACAUGGCAAGCCAUAUCAGUGAGGGAAGGGAGUGAAUCUGAUGUUUUCUGGAGUGCACUUGGUGAAAAGGCAGAGUAUGCAAGAGGAAAAGAAAUAAAAGGAUACAUAGAUGAUCCACAUUUGUUUAUGUUGAGCGGAACUGAAGGUGAUUUCAAGGUGCAAGAGAUAUUCAAUUUCACACAGGAUGAUUUAAAUACUGAAGAUGUGUUAGUCCUCGAUUGCCACAUUGAGAUAUAUGUCUGGAUUGGAAGCCAUUCAAAUAUUAAGUCAAAGCAACAAGCCCUUACUCUUGGCCUGAUAUAUUACCUGGUUUGAAGGAAGGGUGUGAGAAAAUGUCAAAGAGGAUUCCCGAUUCUGCUAUAAUAUUCAUGAAUGAUAAAGAGGUAUAUUGCUACUGAAAUGUCAAGCUCUUCAUAUGAAUUUGAUCUUUGAGAUGACUAAAUCUCUUUUAGGCUAAAUUAAACAGGAAGUUGAAAUAGGCAGUUGCUCUUCAUGGCUCGGAUGUAUGUACAAAUAAUCAUAAUUUGUUAUGCUUUAUAAAUUUGUUUGCAUAUGGUGUAUUUUGAUUCAGUGAUAUUGCAUUUGGUGGUGUAUUUUGAGGGGUGUACAAUUGGA